CUGAAUUGCUCCGCCAGCCGCCUGACAAGGUGGAUAGCCUCUGUAGAGGAGCGGCCCGGCAUGAAACCGAACUGGUUCCCAGAUAUAGAAGUCACCCCCUCACCCUUAUCUCAGUCACCCUCUCCCAAACCUUCAUGGUGUGACUUAUUAAUUUGAUACUCCUAUAAUUGUUGCAGCACUGGAUGUCCCCUUUGUUCUUGUACAAGGGCACCACUGUACUCCAUCUCCACUCAUCCGGCAUCUUUUUGGCCCUGAAGAUCGCAUUGAACAACCUGGAUAGCCACUCCCCCCCAGACUUACCCAUGCACUUCCAGAACUCCACCGGGAUCUCGUCCGGCCCGGUCGCUCGACCCCUACUCAUCCUACGCAAAGCUCUACGAUCCCCCACCUCGUUAAGUAAGUCCCGGAAGUACUCCUGCCACCUCUGUUUGAUUUGAGAUUCCCCCAACAGCACUCUACCAUCCUCGCCCUUGAUAUACCUAACUUGGUCUAGAUCGCGUGCCUU
rnacentral:lncRNA from 1 species